rnacentral:lncRNA from 1 species
GCCGCACACAAGCCAGGAGCACUUGUCCUCCCUCGUGGCCAUUUCCGCUCUGUUCACAGACUUCCCAAAGGACAGACCCUGUACCCACACACCCUGAGGAUGUGUGCCUGCAGGUGCUGCUGGACUCAUGAGUGCAAACACUAUGAUCAGAGAGUGCAACAAAGAACAAGGGCGAACAAUACGCUGUAAGUCAGAAGUUAAGUGAGCGCUGCACGGCAGUCUCCAGCAUGAGAUCCCAG